rnacentral:rRNA from 1 species
UACGAAGGGGGCUAGCGUUGCUCGGAAUCACUGGGCGUAAAGCGCACGUAGGCGGAUCUUUAAGUCAGGGGUGAAAUCCCGGAGCUCAACUCCAGAACUGCCUUUGAUACUGAAGAUCUUGAGUUCGGGAGAGGUGAGUGGAACUGCGAGUGUAGAGGUGAAAAUUCGUAGAUAUUCGCAAGAACACCAGUGGCGAAGGCGGCUCACUGGCCCGAUACUGACGCUGAGGCACGAAAGCGUGGGGAGCAAACAGGG